rnacentral:lncRNA from 1 species
CCAAGCAGGAGCUGUGCCUGACAGAGCCCACAGCUCUGCUGACCCCCACGGGCUUGCCUACCCUGCAGCUGCUGCCCAGGUCCUUCAACAACAGGACCUCCUACCCAUCCAGGCUGGGGGCCAAGUACCAGCAGAAGGAGCGAAGCAAAGGCUGUGGGCAGGAAAGACUGGGAAACAGAAGAGAGCACGGGCCUGGGCUUGUAGACCCAGGCACUGCAGAGCAGGCCAUGCCCUCCCUGCCGGCCUCGUGCCUCCUGGCCCAGGCGGCCCUGGCCUGAGUCGACGCCAAGAUGAAGCAGGUUCCUGCCCUAACUGACCCUGACCUGACUAGACGCUACUUGGCAGGUGGGUGGCCUCCUAG